rnacentral:rRNA from 1 species
AUUGAACGCUGGCGGCAGGCCUAACACAUGCAAGUCGAGCGGAUGAAGGGAGCUUGCUCCUGGAUUCAGCGGCGGACGGGUGACUAAUGCCUAGGAAUCUGCCUGGUAGUGGGGGAUAACGUCCGGAAACGGGCGCUAAUACCGCAUACGUCCUGAGGGAGAAAGUGGGGGAUCUUCGGACCUCACGCUAUCAGAUGAGCCUAGGUCGGAUUAGCUAGUUGGUGGGGUAAAGGCCUACCAAGGCGACGAUCCGUAACUGGUCUGAGAGGAUGAUCAGUCACACUGGAACUGAGACACGGUCCAGACUCCUACGGGAGGCAGCAGUGGGGAAUAUUGGACAAUGGGCGAAAGCCUGAUCCAGCCAUGCCGCGUGUGUGAAGAAGGUCUUCGGAUUGUAAAGCACUUUAAGUUGGGAGGAAGGGCAGUAAGUUAAUACCUUGCUGUUUUGACGUUACCAACAGAAUAAGCACCGGCUAACUUCGUG